rnacentral:rRNA from 1 species
GAUGAACGCUGGCGGCGUGCCUAAUACAUGCAAGUCGAGCGAACGGACGAGAAGCUUGCUUCUCUGAUGUUAGCGGCGGACGGGUGAGUAACACGUGGAUAACCUACCUAUAAGACUGGGAUAACUUCGGGAAACCGGAGCUAAUACCGGAUAAUAUUUUGAACCGCAUGGUUCAAAAGUGAAAGACGGUCUUGCUGUCACUUAUAGAUGGAUCCGCGCUGCAUUAGCUAGUUGGUAAGGUAACGGCUUACCAAGGCAACGAUGCAUAGCCGACCUGAGAGGGUGAUCGGCCACACUGGAACUGAGACACGGUCCAGACUCCUACGGGAGGCAGCAGUAGGGAAUCUUCCGCAAUGGGCGAAAGCCUGACGGAGCAACGCCGCGUGAGUGAUGAAGGUCUUCGGAUCGUAAAACUCUGUUAUUAGGGAAGAACAUAUGUGUAAGUAACUGUGCACAUCUUGACGGUACCUAAUCAGAAAGCCACGGCUAACUACGUGCCAGCAGCCGCGGUAAUACGUAGGUGGCAAGCGUUAUCCGGAAUUAUUGGGCGUAAAGCGCGCGUAGGCGGUUUUUUAAGUCUGAUGUGAAAGCCCACGGCUCAACCGUGGAGGGUCAUUGGAAACUGGAAAACUUGAGUGCAGAAGAGGAAAGUGGAAUUCCAUGUGUAGCGGUGAAAAGCGCAGAGAUAUGGAGGAACACCAGUGGCGAAGGCGACUUUCUGGUCUGUAACUGACGCUGAUGUGCGAAAGCGUGGGGAUCAAACAGGAUUAGAUACCCUGGUAGUCCACGCCGUAAACGAUGAGUGCUAAGUGUUAGGGGGUUUCCGCCCCUUAGUGCUGCAGCUAACGCAUUAAGCACUCCGCCUGGGGAGUACGACCGCAAGGUUGAAACUCAAAGGAAUUGACGGGGACCCGCACAAGCGGUGGAGCAUGUGGUUUAAUUCGAAGCAACGCGAAGAACCUUACCAAAUCUUGACAUCCUUUGACAACUCUAGAGAUAGAGCUUUCCCCUUCGGGGGACAAAGUGACAGGUGGUGCAUGGUUGUCGUCAGCUCGUGUCGUGAGAUGUUGGGUUAAGUCCCGCAACGAGCGCAACCCUUAAGCUUAGUUGCCAUCAUUAAGUUGGGCACUCUAAGUUGACUGCCGGUGACAAACCGGAGGAAGGUGGGGAUGACGUCAAAUCAUCAUGCCCCUUAUGAUUUGGGCUACACACGUGCUACAAUGGACAAUACAAAGGGCAGCGAAACCGUGAGGUCAAGCAAAUCCCAUAAAGUUGUUCUCAGUUCGGAUUGUAGUCUGCAACUCGACUACAUGAAGCUGGAAUCGCUAGUAAUCGUAGAUCAGCAUGCUACGGUGAAUACGUUCCCGGGUCU